rnacentral:lncRNA from 1 species
CUGCUUAUUCUGAAAUCAAUUUCUUAAGCAUUUUCAGACAAUAUUUGCAUUUAAUCAUCUGGAAAAAUAUCCUUCCUAGCAGCCUGUGAGCUCUUUCAAAUGCCCCUCCAUGAAUCUAAAUAGAACUUGAACCAUUUCAAACAACUCCCUCUUGGCUCAGUAAAGUUGCCAUGUUUUUCCCCCUGACUUUAAAUUGUGCAAACAAUUAGACAUUUUGAAAACGGCAUACAUCAAGUCAAGCAGGGCAGGUUUUAAUUACUUUAAAACAUUUAUAAUCCCUGCUGUCGGAAUCUCCCUUUGGGCACGUAACAUUCUAGCACUGUUGUGAUAUCUUUCUGGUUUGACCUAAAUAUCUAUUUACUUUAUUGAGUCACUACAAGGCCUGAUAGGUCAAAAAUUAGGCAUGGGUGGUUAAAGAGUAAAUAUGUGCUACAAGAUGCCAGAGUUAAGAGGAAUUAUAAAAUUAAAUGCAUCUUUAGAGGUUUGAAACUGAGUUCACAUUUGUAUUUAAAUACCAAAUAAUCUUCCAAUUUUUAUGCAUAGUUUUCAGUCCUGGUAACGAAAACACGAUGUCGUGCUCACGCUGUGAGCUCUGUGCUUGGCUUCCUUGUUUACAUUCACAGCUAUAAACACAGUCUUAUCCAGGCUUGCUUGGAAGCAAAUUUCCCAUUGUUUUCUGCACUCACCAUGUUGAGAAAUUUCUAGAAUUUUUCUUCAUAGUCUCCUUCUCUUUGCAUCGGCCACUAAGUGCCUCAACUUUCCAGGGUAUGACCACACCUCCGCCUACCGGCAUCGCAUUGCAGAAUUAUAGUCUCUUCAUUUUUAACUCCUCUCAGAUUUCAAAAAUAAGUUGUAAAUAGAAAAUUGCACCAAGGAUAUUUAUCAGAAGUCAUUUCUAUGCCAAUGCCAUUGCUUUAGCCCUAGUCCCUACUGUAGGCAUCUUCCCAGCUGCUUAAAACCCACCUAUCUUUCCAGGAAGAGCUCGCUUCACCCCAACUUCACCAGAGCCACCUUUGGCAACUCCAGGGAGAGAGAUUUUUAAAUAGAAUUUUCAACUCUGUUAAUGGACCGAAAAAAAAAAAAAAAAAAGACCCUACAUCAGUUCAGUGAUUGGAAAGAGUGUUAAACUGAGCUUCACCAAAUUGAUCAGGGGAAAGUUGAAAGAAGGUGUCGAAGAGAUAAAAGAAAGAAGGGAGAAAUAGAUGAGGAUCAGAAGGGGUUCAAAGAAAAGGAGAGAAAAAUAUUGAAAAACAAACACCAGCAAGAGACCAUUAAACAUAUUAAAUAGAAACAGGGCAAACAAAUGUGAAUGUGGAAGAAUAUAAUUAAAUCCAGAGUGACUUCCAGUGGAGAAUUACAGACUCGAGAAAUGAAAUUCUCCAAAUGCACAUUUUUAUUACCAACUAAUACCUACCUUGCAUCACUGAAUUUAAUUUCGUAUAUGCGCAUACACCCAGACACAAACACAAAGGCACACACAGGAUUUGCUUUUCUCUGAAACCUGAUACAAUCAAUGAGUGUGCCCUGGGGGUGAAGAAACCAUGUACCCCCAUGCUUCACACCCCCACAUUCCAGGUGGUCUACCCCUUCUUGGUACCAGAAGGGAUCAAAGCAGGGCACUAAGUCACCAGUCACCACAACCACUAAAACAACCUUCCCUUCACACACAUCACCAAGACAGGGGGCCCCACCCUGGUCUCUCAGCAGCAUCCAGCAGUCAAGAAGGCACAGCGUUCCAGAAUCCUCAGUCCAUCUCUGCACAGACUCUUCCCAUGAAGUGCUCAAGUGCUGGGUCUGGAUUUACAUAAAAUGUAAAGACCCCGCCCCUUUGCUCGUCUCCAUAUUUCAACCAGAUGGGGUCCUCUGUUAGGAACCACAUGUUGCCUCUCUGGCAACUCCACUGAGCCUUUCUCUCUGUGUCAUGAAUGAUUUAAAAAAUAAAUCACAUAAAGAUAUAAAGACGUAUAUCUUUAAAAAUAAAAGAGGUCGAUGUCCCGUCUACACUGUACGCUGUUGCUGCUCAUUGGAAUCUGGUCCACCUUUCAGAUGUUUGUACAGACUUUGUGUUUCUGGUUCUAUCUUUUGACAGAUGACUACUGUUUUUCUUUUUCAAGAAUAUAUACCUGUUUCUAAAACACAAGAUCUAAUUUUUUGUAUUUAUUUAUUUUUUUGGCCAUGCCUGAGGCACAUGGAAGUUCCCAGGCCAGGAAUCAAACCUGCACCACAGCAGUGACCCCAGCCAUUGCAGGGACAAUGCCGGCUCCUUAACCCGCUGUACCACAAGACAACUCCAAGAUCUAAUUUUAAACUUGCUCUUAUUCUUUGCCAUUUUCUACCAGAAUAGAGAAAAGCAUACUCCUGAGUCUCUGAUAUUGGAACAAAUAUCUAAAAUCCUAUAGUUGCUGAACUCAACAAGAACUUCCUUAUGUAUAUGGGCUAUUUUUAGGACUAAGCAAAAAAAAAAAAAAAAAAAAAAAAAAAAAAAGCAUGAGGCCCUGGGUGAUUUUGCUGCACUUUUCCAAUGCAAAGAGCUCAAAGGAGAUGAAGUAAAAACCAAUGCUUAUAAUGUUGAUCUGAAACAACAAAAGAUCCUGAAGUGGCUUCUAAACCAAAGAAUCAAGAAACAAUGUUCAAUAUAGUUGAAUACGUAUUAGUACAUUUUAAAAAAAUUUAGAUAUUCAGUGUGACUACAAACCGAAUAUUGUUUGUAGUGAUAUUAAACAAAAUUCUGUUCCCUGACCCAUCCUGUAGGAAAGGAAAGGAGCCACAUAAAGUGUUUAAAUCAGCAGAGAGAGGAAACCCUCAGGAGGGCAGCCAGCCAAAACCCUGGUUUUUCAAGGAUAUUGAGUGAAAAAUAACAGAAAGGAAGCAAACCGGAGGGUAGGAGAAGCUGAAAGGAACCUGUGGUAAAAAUGAAAAUGGGUGAAAACUACUGGUGGGAUAACAAGCGGACGCCCUCUUCCUCACCCCCGAUGGUCUCUUAAAAACCAUGAGCUCCUUCCAAGGAAAAAUGCUCACGUCCACAACAUUUUGAAGACAAUGUCAAGGGCUUCAUAGACCCCCUCAGAGCCUCCUGUGGCACCCAGUAGCAAACAAUAACAAGAACAUCUUUGAAUCCUACAGUAGUGUUCAACCAAGACAUUUGGGAAACAGGAAACUGUGGGAAAAGACGGUGCUGUCAUUCAACACAACAUUACCACCCCUAAAUUAUUUUGCUCCCAUUAAGGCAGAGGAGUUUGCUAUUAAAUCAAAACUUUGCUAUUAAAUCUAUAUUCCUUUUGGUUUUCUUUAGAGCUAUUCUAUUAAGAAUAAGGCCAUUCUUGGAAGCUUUUUGUUUGUUUUGUUGGUUCUCUUUUUUUUCUUUUUAGGGCCGCACUUGCAGCAUAUGGAUGUUCCCAGACUAGGGGUCAAACUGGAGCUGCAGCUGCCGGCCUACGCCACAGCCACAGCAACGCCCGAUUCAAGUCGCGUCUGUGACCUACACCACAGCUCACAGCCAUGUCAGAUCCUUAACCCACUGAGCAAGGCCAGGGAUCAAACCUGUGUCCUCAUGGAUACUAGUCAGGUUCAAUACCCCUGAGCCAUAAUGGGAACUUCCUCUUCGAAGUUUUUAAAAUGCUCUCCAAGGAUUCUGUUCCAAGAGCUUCAAUUCCUUUCAUUUGGCCUAAAGCCUGGGUGACAUUUCCCUGCUAAGGGUCCCCCGUGGGUUCCAUCUGGAUCGUGUGAGUCCCUGGACAACUGGCGUUUACUUUAGGUUGAGUCAGUUCCUAGUUCCAACACUGCUGUGUCAGAGAUAGAGCUAGAUGCCAAAAUUACUUGGGGGAUUGAGACUUCAGCAUUUCCGACCCUUGUGCCAGAGAGGCUACCUUCUGAGGAAACGAAUUCCAAAGAGAAUAAACAAACGAUGGAAAAAUGUUCAGCCUCACUGGUGAUUAAGGAAUUGUAACUCAAACCAAUACAUUACUACUCUACAGCAUGUGUUAGAGAGAAACCAGAAUAUUAUGCACCAGGCUGAUGGCACUGUACUUUGAUACAAUUCUUAUCCAAGAGUAUUUUAGGGGAAUACAUAGAAAGAAUGGUAAAAAGAUUUAUUCCCUUCGACCCAGCCACUCCAUCUUUAGGAAAACUUGAAAAGAGUGAGAGAGUAGAAAUGACUUAUACAAAUUGUUUCCAGCAAGUGAAAACAAGAAACUGCCUGAAGAGCCAACAAGAAAAGAGGAGUUACCUAAUUAUGGUUAAUCCAUAGGGGACAGUGUGGUCUACAUUGACCAUAACAAUUCUUCUGCCAGGCCAGUGUUGGCUUGAGAAUGGCCACAGGACUCUGUUCUGGCCACUAAGAUGAGAGGAGAAGUCUUGUCAGGAGUCUAGGGGGAAACGUAUCUCCCUCCUAAGAAAAAGGCACGGGAAGAAGCAAUUCAUCUGGAUGUGGUCCUUGGCACUGCCGCCACUUGGACACACUGGAGGGACUUUCAACACCAAGAGGAGCUCCCUAGGGAAAUGGGGAAAACGGUGUCCUUGAUGACAGCCUUGAUCUAUGAAAUCCAUCAACCCAAAGCCUCAAAUUCCAUCAUAUGUGAAAUAGACCAUAUCUGUGAAACAUUGAAUUUUCCUAUAACUUAGGCUAGUUUGAGUUGAGCUUUGCUGUAAUUCACUGUCAAAAGAAUCUAAUAGAAUCAAAAUUAAUUUAAUCUUGCAUAUCCCUCUUAACAGUGAAAGCUAAUGUAAGCAUAGGGCAAGUAUUUAUCAAUAAUCCUAAAUAAGAUAGUAAAAAACCCCAGAGUUUAUUCUAUAUAAUUAUACCUACAUAAAAAUCAUGAAUAUAGCUAUACCUAUACAUCAUGAAUACUAGUAACAAGAAUUAGUUCUAUCAGAGUUAAAGAAAUUGAAAGUAGGCAUUCCUGUUGUGGCUCAGUGGUUAACAAACCCAACUAGUAUCCAUGAAGACGAGGGUUUGAUCCCUGGCCUCACUCAGUGGGUUGAGGAUCCAGCGUUGUUGUGAGCUGUGAUGUAGGUUGAAGAUGCAGUUCGGAUCCCACGUUGCUGUUGCUCUGGAGUAGGCCAGCAGCCACCAGCUCCAAUUCAACCUCUAGUCUGGGAACCUCCGUAAGCCGCUGGUGUGGCCCUAAAAAGACAAAAAAAAAAAAAAAAGAAAGAAAGUAAAUUAUAAAAUAUUUCAGGUUUUUUGUUUGUUUGUUUGUCUUUUUGCCUUUUCUAGGGCCACUCCUGCGGCAUAUGGAGGUUCCCAGGCUAGGGGUCGAAUCCGAGCUAUACCACCAGCCUACUCCAGAGCCACAGCAACGCGGGAUCCGAGCCAUGUCUGCGACCUACACCACAGCUCAUGGCAACGCCAGAUCGUUAACCCACUGAGCAAGGCCAGGGACUGAACCCGCAACCUCAUGGUUCCUAGCCAGAUUCAUUAACCACUGCGCCACGACAGGAACUCCAAAAUAUUUUAGUUUUCGAUUAACAUUUUAAUUUUAUAGAAAUCAGGAUGGAUUGGGUUCUGUUCCACUAACAGACAACCCAGCAAUCUCAAUGCCUUACAACAGCAAAAGUUUAUUUCUUGUUUAGGGUAUACGUUUAUUGAGGUUGGAUGUUGGGUGGAGCAGUGGGACUGUACUGCUGAUCAGUCACUCAGGGACUCAGAAGGAUGAGGUGGCCACCAUUCCAACCUUUGUCACCAUGUCAGAGGUUGAAAAAAAAAAAGCAUACAAAUUGUGUUCUGGAUUUUAAGGCUUCCAUCACAUUACUUCCAAUUGCAUUUCAUUAGCCGAAGGAGGUCACACGACCUUACCAAAAUUCAAAGGAAAAGGGAAAGUACAAUUCUCCCAUGUUUAUUAAACAGCCCUAGUGACUACCACAGGGUUAUAACUAAUGACUGUUGGAUGCACAGUUCCAUUACUUGUACAGGAAGCAGAAUUUUUCCUAAAACCCCAGAGGUAAGGGAGAGACGAAGGCUAUAUGCAGGAAAAUUAGUAUAGUAAGACACAAAACAUCCCCUCACAUGUUUUAAAUACAUGCUCAACUUCACCCAGCAAUUGAUUCUGCAGGGUUCAUAUGGUUGCUUAAAACAUGUGGUUCGAGUCUCAGCCUAUUAUAAAUGUAGUGGAGAUUUUUAUACCAUUCCUCAAGUGCUACCAUGAAAGACCACCACACAGAAAAGAG